rnacentral:lncRNA from 1 species
CCGCGAGACCGCUCCGUCUGCAGAUCCCGGCGGGGGGGGCGGCGCCGGGACCCCCCCUGGGCCCCGUCCUGGGGCAGGUGGGGAUUUCCGGGGCUCUUUGAGGCCCUUCUUGAGGCUUGUUGGGGCUCGUGGGGGCCUAUCGAGGCCUGUCGAGGCCUGUUGGGGCCUAUCGAGGCCUAUUGAGGCCUGUUGGGGUCUAUUGGGGUCUAUCGAGCCUAUCGAGGCCUAUUGGGGUCUAUCAAGCCUAUAGGGGCCUCUCGAGGCCUAUUGAGGCCUAUUGGGGUCUAUUGGGGCCUAUUGGGACCUAUUGCAGCUUAUCGAGGCCUAUUGGGGUCUAUCAAGGCCUAUCGGGGCUUAUUGGGAAUUAUCGGGGCCUAUCGCGGCCUAUCGAGGUCUAUUGGGGCCUGUCGAGGCCUAUUGGGGCAUAUUGGGGUCUAUCAAGCCUAUAGGGGCCUAUCGAGGCCUAUUGGGGUCUAUUGGGGCCUAUUGGGACCUAUCGCGGCCUAUUGAGGCCUAUUGGGGUCUAUCAAGGCCUAUUGGGGCUUAUUGAGAACUAUCGCGGCCUAUCGCGGCCUAUCAAGGUCUAUUGGGGUCUAUCGAGGCCUAUUGAGGCCUAUUGGGGUCUAUUGGGGCCUAUUGGGGCCUAUCGCGGCCUAUCGAGGCCUAUAGGGUCCUAUCGAGGCCUAUUGAGGCCUAUUGGGGUCUAUUG